rnacentral:sRNA from 1 species
AUUUCUCGCCUGGCACUCGCCCGGGCUGCUGCUGCUGCUGCUGCCGCCGCGGCGGGGGCAGCUCGCAAACCUGUGGCGGUGACGUGAGCCCCGCCAACCCGGAAACGGCGGCGGAGGCACCGGAGGCUCCGAGGCUCCUGCGCUCCCGCGCCGCGCUCCCCUCGCCCGCCCGGGCCGCCAGGAGAAGAAACUGAGGCCUGGAAUUUGAUUAAUUCUUUCAAGGUUACCCAGUUGGUAAGUAACAGAGCUGGAAUUUGACCAUGGUCAUCUGGCUCCAGAGCCAGCACUCUUAACCACACUUCCUAUGAGGAAAAAUUAAAGUGGAUGGUGAUGGCUACAAGAUGGAUUUCAGUUGCAUAGAAAUAAGAACCUCCUACCUCUGUUGAAAUCAGAAUACAUAUACAUCCCUUCAUUCACUCUAUGAAUAUUCAUUCACUCCAUGAACCUACAAGGUUUUUAGGUCAAAUUAUUAGUUUAAAUAAGAACUACAGGCUGGGCGCA